rnacentral:rRNA from 1 species
GAUGAACGCUGGCGGCGUGCCUAAUACAUGCAAGUCGAGCGAACGGACGAGAAGCUUGCUUCUCUGAUGUUAGCGGCGGACGGGUGAGUAACACGUGGAUAACCUACCUAUAAGACUUGGAUAACUUCGGGAAACCGGAGCUAAUACCGGAUGAUAUUUUUAACCGCAUGGUUCAAAAGUGAAAGACGGUCUUGCUGUCACUUAUAGAUGGAUCCGCGCUGCAUUAGCUAGUUGGUAAGGUAACGGCUUACCAAGGCAACGAUGCAUAGCCGACCUGAGAGGGUGAUCGGCCACACUGGAACUGAGACACGGUCCAGACUCCUACGGGAGGCAGCAGUAGGGAAUCUUCCGCAAUGGGCGAAAGCCUGACGGAGCAACGCCGCGUGAGUGAUGAAGGUCUUCGGAUCGUAAAACUCUGUUAUUAGGGAAGAACAUAUGUGUAAGUAACUGUGCACAUCUUGACGGUACCUAAUCAGAAAGCCACGGCUAACUACGUG